rnacentral:rRNA from 1 species
GACGAACGCUGGCGGCGUGCUUAACACAUGCAAGUCGAACGGUGAACCUCUUCGGAGGGGAUUAGUGGCGUACGGGUGAGUAGCACGUGGGCAACCUGCCCCCGGCUCUGGGAUAACUCCAAGAAAUUGGGGCUAAUACCGGAUGUUCACCGCUUCCCGCAUGGGUGGUGGUGGAAAGGGUUUCCGGCUGGAGAUGGGCCCGCGGCCUAUCAGCUUGUUGGCAGGCUAGUGACCUACAAAGGCGACGACGGGUAGCCGGCCUUAGAGGGGGAACGGCCACACUGGGACUGAGACAGGGCGCAGAAUCCUACGGGAGGCAGCAGUGGGGAAUAUUGCGCAAUGGGCGGAAGCCUGACGCAGCGAUGCCGCGUGGGGGAUGACGGCCUUCGGGUGGUAAACCUCUUUCAGCAGGGACGAAGCGCAAGUGACGGUACCUGCAGAAGAAGCACCGGCCAACUACGUG